CAGCCGCCACGGGAAUACGAAGGGGGCUAGCGUUGUUCGGAUUUACUGGGCGUAAAGCGCACGUAGGCGGAUCGAUCAGUCAGGGGUGAAAUCCCAGAGCUCAACUCUGGAACUGCCUUUGAUACUGUCGAUCUGGAGUAUGGAAGAGGUGAGUGGAAUUCCGAGUGUAGAGGUGAAAUUCGUAGAUAUUCGGAGGAACACCAGUGGCGAAGGCGGCUCACUGGUCCAUUACUGACGCUGAGGUGCGAAAGCGUGGGGAGCAAGCAGGAUUAGAUACCCGCGUAGUCCCUGUCUCUUAUAC
rnacentral:rRNA from 1 species